GCCUAUGACCAUAUCACCCUGAAUGCGCCCGAUCUCGUCUGAUCUCGGAAGCUAAACAUGGUCGAGCCUGAUUAGUACUUGGAUGGGAGACUGCCUGGGAAUACCAGGUGUUGUAGGCU
ensembl:rRNA 5S_rRNA 5S ribosomal RNA